rnacentral:rRNA from 1 species
UACGAAGGGUGCAAACGUUGCUCGGAAUCAUUGGGCGUAAAGCGCACGUAGGCGGCCUCAUAAGUCGGAUGUGAAAUCCCUCGGCUCAACCGAGGACAUGCAUCCGAAACUGUGAAGCUCGAGUAUGGAAGAGGGUCGCGGAAUUCCCGGUGUAGAGGUGAAAUUCGUAGAUAUCGGGAGGAACACCAGUGGCGAAGGCGGCGACCUGGGCCAAUACUGACGCUGAGGUGCGAAAGCGUGGGGAGCAAACAGG